rnacentral:lncRNA from 10 species
CACUAUUUUGCUUAUCAAAGUCUCUUAAAGGAGGUGACUUACCUACGCUAUGGACCCAAUUACUCAGCCAAUAAGAGGACACGGUCCCUGCCCAUAGAAAGCUGAUGUCCAGCCUGACCUCAAUACAAAACCAUCCAGUUAAAGUGGUGGGGGUGGCUAUGCAGAGACGGGCGGGUGCCGGGAGAGUCAAGGGCAGCCCCUUGGCUGGCCAGGGGCUCAGACAGACCAGCUGGGGAGAUGCAUCACUCGCCCAGGAAAACUGAUGACAGCUUAGAUGGCACUGCAAGAGCAGGGAGGAUCACACUCAUGUCCAGAAAGUGAAACAUAAAACAGCUAAACAUGUACCACACAGCUUUCAUACAAAAAUUUUAUAUACACAAAUUUUGAAAAAAUAGAGAUGGGGUUUUGCUUGUUGUCCCGGCUGGUUUCGAACUCCUGAACUCAAGUGAUCUGCCUGCCUCAGCUUCCCAAAGUGAUGCAAUUACAGGCAUGUGCCACCAUGCCUGGUGACUUUUUUUCUGUUUUGAGACGGGGUCUCACUCUGUCUCCCAGGCUGGAGUUCAGUGGCAUGAUCAUAGCUCACUGCAGUCUCGACCUCCUAGGCUCAAGUGAUCCUCCCACCUCAGCCUCCUGAGUAGUGGGACCACAGGUGUGCACCACCGUGUCCAGCUAAUUUUUGUAGAGAUGGGGUCUCAUCAUGCUGCCCAGGCUGGUCUCAAACUCCAGGGCUCGAGUGAUCCGCCAUCCUUGGCCUCCCAAAGUGCUGGAUUACAGACCUGAGCCACCACACCAGGCUGCCCCACACAUUGUAAAGUUUCGCUUCCCUCUAAUGUCAGAUUCCAAAGACAGCAGCCUUCAUGAGUCAGAAAGAAACAUCGGUCAUUUUGAAAUCAACAUCCAACUGAAGUGUAGAAAGGCCUCUGGAUUUUUGAAACGGCAACAACAGAUGAUGUAAUACAAAGACGCCCCCACCCCACUGCUUUCCCACUGCAUGCUUUACAUGACAUGGCACAGCUUCCACGCCAGCAGCUUCAAUCAUGUAAAGCGAAUGCAGUCCCAUCAAGACCACAGCAUUGGCUGAGCAGCUACUCCAUGCUGGGCACCGUCCUGGGCACUGGAAGUACAGCAGAGAACGAAACCAAGACCACACCCUCCAGAAGCCUGCAUUCCAGCAGGACAGACAGACUUCCAUACACAGAGCAGGAAAAUGCACAGCGUGUCAGAUGAUGAUGAUUACUAUGAGAAAAAUAAAGCAGGCAAAGAGAACAGGACUAUUUGGAUGAGGGUGGUGCAAAUUCAAAUAAUCAGACAGCCUUUGCUGGGAAGGUGAUAUCUGAGCAAAGAUUCGAGAAGGUGGGGAGAGCCCCGGAGCCUUCCCCGCAGAGCAGAGGAGGCCCGGGAAGCUCUGGACUCAUAGCGGUUCAGCACGGCCACGACACGGCCACUUCCAGACAGAGCCCCUGGCUGCUGGGUAGGGACCGCAGCACCUCAGAGAACCCUUUCUGGGGUCACUUCUGGCACCCUCUGCAAACCUCAAGGGGGAGCGUGAGGCUGGGGGCUGUCCAUCAGGGUCCAGGCACCUCCUGAAGGAACCUCUCAAAGCCAGCCGAUCACCGGCUCCAGACCCACGCUGUCAGACAUCUCUGUGGCCACCAGACCACUGCCACUCUCACGGGUGUGAUGACAUGGGACCUGCCUACUGGUAGUCUUCUGCCUUCGUGGAAUUCUGCAACUUCCUUCCUGCCUCGGCCACAGCAUGUCAGCCAAGCACCUGUCAGGGUCCCUCCCUGGCAGGACGAUGUUUAGAAGCUCAACACCUUGCUCCUGCCUCCUCUUCAGACCCAUCAGAACUUGCUACCAUGGGUGUGUUUUAAUAAAUAACUUCAUUUCUGCAGCAAAUAAAUAAAUAAAUAAAUGUAGUUGCAAUAUUGCCUUUAAAAGCACUUUUAAGCAUCAAUUGUGAAAUAAAAAGCCCGAGCAAAAGCCCUCUUUGAGCGUGAA